GAGACAUUGAAGCAUUGUCCCUAGAUGAUGUGGAGUCGUCCUUGAAAUACCACCCUUGUAUGUUUGAUGUUCUAACAUUGGUCCCUUAUCGGGAUUGUGGACAGUGUCUGGUGGGUAGUUUGACUGGGGCGGUCUCCUCCCAAAUAGUAACGGAGGAGCACGAAGGUUAGCUAAUCACGGUCGGACAUCGUGAGGUUAGUGCAAUGGCAUAAGCUAGCUUAACUGCGAGACAGACACGUCGAGCAGGUACGAAAGUAGGUCAUAGUGAUCCGGUGGUUCUGUAUGGAAGGGCCAUCGCUCAACGGAUAAAAGGUACUCCGGGGAUAACAGGCUGAUACCGCCCAAGAGUUCACAUCGACGGCGGUGUUUGGCACCUCGAUGUCGGCUCAUCACAUCCUGGGGCUGAAGU
rnacentral:rRNA from 1 species